GAGGGUAUAGCUCAGUGGUAAAGUGCCUGCAUAGUAUGCACAAGGUCCUGGGUUCAAUCUCUAGUACCUCCA
rnacentral:tRNA from 1 species